CGCGUAGGUGGGUUGGUAAGUGAGAGGUGAAAGCCCGGGGCUUAACUCCGGAACUGCCUUUCAUACUGCCAGCCUAGAGUUCGGGAGAGGGAGAUGGAAUUCCUGGUGUAGCGGUGGAAUGCGUAGAUAUCAGGAGGAACACCAAUUGCGAAGGCAGGUUACUAUGUCUUAACUGACGCUGAUGGACGAAAGCGUGGGGAGCGAACAGGAUUAGAUACCCUGGUAGUCC
rnacentral:rRNA from 1 species